AUGUUGCUGAAAUUGAUUGCUAAUUUUUUUCUCUCUCUUAAUGAAAUUGAUUAUUGAAUCUCAGAUGAGAAAAUUGAGAUUUUGCCCUUUUUUUAUUAUGAUUUAGUUUAUUAUGAAAGAUUUUGAACCCAUGUUGGUGUGUAAUUAGGUUAUUUUCAACUUUAAUCACAGAGAAAUUACUAGUUAUGUCUGGAUUUGCAACUACCGUGAAACAAUUAAUUUAUAGGAAUUUUAUGUGUGAUAUUUAUAUUUGUUUAUAUAUAUAAAUUAUUUAAUUUUAUUGAUUAGUGUUUAUUAGAUUCAAAUCAAAUAAAAUAAGGCCAAAUCAGAAAAAAUAUGGUGGUGAAAGUCAAGUCUAAAAUAAAAUGCCCAAUGAAGCCCAAAACCAAAUAAAUCAAAUCGAACCAAACCAAAUUAGAGCUGUUCAGUUUUUCAGAUAUUUUGGUUUGGUUCGGUUUGUUUCUAAUAUUCAUCAAUUCAAUUAUUUUAAUUUAGUUCGGUUUAAGCCGAAUGCUCAGCUUUAUACUACAUUUAAUUGUCAGAAAUUCAAAAGUAGAAAGAAG
rnacentral:misc_RNA from 1 species